rnacentral:rRNA from 1 species
CAACCACUUCUUGACCAAGUAAGGCAUUUUAUACCAGCCUGGAAGAGAGGGCUCAUGCAGCGGCCAGGUCGGCUUAUCCUGGUGAAAUCAGUCAUUGCGGCAAGGCCGGCGCACCAACUUCUGGUUAUGAAACCGCCGAUAUGGGUGCUCGAGGACAUGGACAGUUGGAUGCGCGCUUUUUUCUGGGCAGGUAAAGAUUGAGCACAUGGUGGUCGGUUUCUUGUGGCAUGGAGUGCUAUCUGCAACCCACUGAGUUAUGGCAGGUUAGGCGUGAAGAACCUGGGGGCUGCAAGCCCUCCCCUGAGGGUGCGUUGGGAGUGGUUGAGGCGCACUGACGAUCAAAGACCGUGGCAGGAACUCCAGUUUUUGGUGGACGAGGAUGCGAGGAUGGUGUUCGACGACAUGGUCAAGAUCACAGUUGGCAAGGGGGACAAGAUUCUAUUUUGGAGAGAUAGAUGGAUUCAUGGUUUUUCAGUAUACGAUAUUGCUCCUAUACUAGCCAGUGUCGUAGACACCAAAACGAGGAACGCGAGAAUGGUUGAGCAGGCUAUGAUCGGAGAAAGAUGGAUCCAUGAUGUACCACCGCAAACCUCCAUGGGUGCAUGCUGCAAACUGUGCAUCUUAGGCACGCAAUUACCACAGUGCAAAGAGACGAGUUGGCGGAUGACAAGUUCACGUGGCCCCAUGACAAAUCCGGAGAAUACACAACAAAAUCCACUUAUAAGCAACUUUGUCAAGGAGGGAUUCGUGUCCCGAUGGCCGAGGCGAUUUGGAGGAGUUGGGCACCUCUGA